AUUUUGGACAAUGGGGGAAACCCUGAUCCAGCCAUCCCGCGUGUGCGAUGAAGGCNUUNNGGUUGNANAGCACUUUUGUCAGGNNNNNAAAGGUUCUGGNUAAUACCCGGAACUGAUGACGGUACCUGAAGAAUAAGCACAGGCGAACUACGUGCCAGCAGCCGCGGUAAUACGUAGGGUGCAAGCGUUAAUCGGAAUUACUGGGCGUAAAGCGUGCGCAGGCGGUUCGGAAAGAAGGAUGUGAAAUCCCAGGGCUCAACCUUGGAACUGCAUUCUUAACUACCGAACUAGAGUAUGUCAGAGGGGGGUAGAAUUCCGCGUGUAGCAGUGAAAUGCGUAGAUAUGCGGAGGAAUACCGAUGGCGAAGGCAGCCCCCUGGGAUAAUACUGACGCUCAUGCACGAAAGCGUGGGUAGCAAACAGG
rnacentral:rRNA from 1 species